rnacentral:rRNA from 1 species
GACGGAGGAUGCAAUCGUUAUCCGGAAUGAUUGGGCGUAAAGCGUUCGCAGGUGGCUGUUCAAGUCUGCUGUCAAAGACCGGGGCUUAACCCUAGAAAGGCAGUGGAAACUGGACGGCUGGAGUGCAGUAUGGGUAGAGGGAAUUCCCAGUGUAGCGGUGAAAUGCGUAGAGAUUGGGAAGAACACCGGUGGCGAAAGCGCUCUGCUGGACUGCAACUGACACGGAGGGACGAAAGCUAGGGGAGAGAAAGGG